CUGUAUAUAAGUUCGUGCAGUAUACAUAUAUUGUGAUCACUAGUCUAAUCUUUUUAAACAACACAUGCAUCGUUGAUCUAUCUCGUAUCAACUAUUUGUAUGGAUGGAUUUGGCACCUUCAAAAGUGGAGGCUUUCACUAGGCUUAUGGCUUUAUUGAAGUCGAACACUUGAACACCAGAAACUUUCACUAUCACUGAGGUAUUGUUAACAUGGCUGCUGAGCUAUGCCCUCUUUUACAAGAACAUGCUCGUUUCUUUUUAUAUCUCAACCAGCACUUCUCACUAUCAUUUUGUACUGUGCUCCUUCGUUAACAUCUUGAUAGAAAGUCACAAUAUCUCCACUUCCGAGGCCAGCACAGCGCGCAAUGUCAUGCCAACCUCUUGUAAAAGCAAGAUUUCCUGAUCUGGUGGAGCAGUGAAUUGUGACUGGCUCUCCACCUGGUAAUGUCGUAAUUCCUGCAGCUGACUGAACAACAACCAUGGUGGACAAUUCUAUUGUCCGGGCACCGUGGAAAGGUGGCAGGAGUUCUAGGUUAGAAUCGGGUGGCAGCACCAAUCCUCUCUCAAUAUCAAUAGAGGUGAGUUGCUUUGUGAAGAUUUCCAUAGCUAAUUAAAAUGCUAUGAAAUAAUCAGGUUAAAG
rnacentral:lncRNA from 1 species